rnacentral:rRNA from 1 species
AGUCACUGACAUUAGAUACCCCUGUAGUCCAGGGUGUAAACGCUGCAGACUUGGUGUUGGGAACCCUUCGGGGGUGCUCAGUGCCGGAGAGAAGUUGUUAAGUCUGCUACUUGGGAGUACGUCCGCAAGGCUGAAACUUAAAGGAAUUGGCGGGGGAGCACAACAACGGGUGGAGCUUGCGGUUUAAUUGGAUUCAACGCCGGAAAUCUUACCGGGACCGACAGCAACAUGAAGGCCAAGCUGAAGACUUUGCCGGAUUAGCUG